GCAGUCUAUGAGAAGUUAGCUUGCNNAAUGGACUCAUGGCGGACGGGUGAGUAACGCGUAAAGAACUUGCCCUUUAGACUGGGAUAACAGAGGGAAACUUCUGAUAAUACUGGAUAAGUUAGUAUAUCGCAUGAUAUGCAAAUGAAAGCUACGGCACUAAAGGAGAGCUUUGCGUCCUAUUAGCUAGUUGGUAAGGUAAGAGCUUACCAAGGCGAUGAUAGGUAGCCGGCCUGAGAGGGUGGACGGCCACAAGGGGACUGAGAUACGGCCCUUACUCCUACGGGAGGCAGCAGUGGGGAAUAUUGGACAAUGGAGGGAACUCUGAUCCAGCAAUUCUGUGUGUGUGAAGAAGGUUUUAGGACUGUAAAACACUUUUAGUAGGGAAGAAAAAAAUGACGGUACCUACAGAAGAAGCAACGGCUAAAUACGUGCCAGCAGCCGCGGUAAUACGUAUGUUGCGAGCGUUAUCCGGAAUUAUUGGGCUUAAAGGGCAUCUAGGCGGUAAGACAAGUUGAAGGUGUAAACCUGUGGCUCAACCAUAGGCUUGCCUACAAAACUGUUGAACUAGAGUACUGGAAAGGUGGGUGGAACUACACGAGUAGAGGUGAAAUUCGUAGAUAUGUGUAGGAAUGCCGAUGAUGAAGAUAACUCACUGGACAGAAACUGACGCUGAAGUGCGAAAGCUAGGGGAGCAAACAGGAUUAGAUACCCUGGUAGUCCUAGCUGUAAACGAUGAUCACUGGGUGUGGGGAUGCGAAGUCUCUGUGCCGAAGCAAAAGCGAUAAGUGAUCCGCCUGGGGAGUACG
rnacentral:rRNA from 1 species